rnacentral:rRNA from 1 species
CACCGCGGUUAUACGAGAGGCCCAAGUUGACAGUCACCGGCGUAAAGCGUGGUUAGGAUAUAAUCAAAAACUAAAGUCGAACUCCUUCAAGGCCGUUUAAAGUGUUCGAUACGGAGAAGCUCAACUACGAAAGUGACUUUAUUUUUCUGACGCCACGAAAGCUAAGGCA